rnacentral:rRNA from 1 species
GCAAGUCGAACGGUAGAGAGGUGCUUGCACCUCUUGAGAGUGGCGAACGGGUGAGUAACACGUAAGUAAUCUGCCUAAAAGUUGGGGAUAGCCUGUGGAAACACAGGGUAAUACCGAAUACGUCCUUUAAGUGGGAACUUAAUGGGGAAAGGAGCUAAGGCUUCGUUUCCAGAUGAGCUUGCGGUUCAUUAGCUAGUUGGUGGGGUAAGAGCCUACCAAGGCGACGAUGAAUAGCCGGCCUGAGAGGGUGACC